rnacentral:rRNA from 1 species
CACGAAAGUUCUUCUGUUUUAAAAAAACACUCAAGGAAUUUGAAUUUGUAGUGAAGAUGCUACAUUAAAAUUGUUAGACGAGAAGUCCCCAUGGAGCUUUACUGAAAGCCUAAAAAAAAUUUUUUAUUUAUUUAUAGGUUAGACAGUUUUGUUGGGGUGAUAGUUUUUUAAAAAGUAACGAAAACGAACUAUGACGCAUGUUUCACUCUGAAAACUUGAAGAGACAUUUGGGGUGUGUUUUAUGAUCUAUUGUUUUGAAUGAAAAAGAUAAUGAAAGCA